AUGGAGCCUUGGGAACGAAGAACAGUACGGCAAUUCUGGCUCCAGCGAGCAAUCAAACAGACCCAAAAUCAGAUUCACCACAUAAUGAAACUAAGAAGAAGAAUCAGACCGCCACGGCAAUACCGGCAGCGACAACGGCUACUGAUCGUCAGAAAAAGGAGAGCGAGAUUGAUAAACUGAGGCAUUGUGACAUAUUUCAUGGGAAUUGGGUGCAUGAUGACUCAUACCCGCUAUACCCUGAAGGAUCCUGCCCUCACAUUGACGAGCCCUUUGAUUGCUACCACAA
rnacentral:misc_RNA from 1 species